GACGAACGCUGGCGGCGUGCUUAACACAUGCAAGUCGAACGGUGAAGCGCCUUCCUUUUUGGUGGGUGUGGAUGAGUGGCGAACGGGUGAGUAACACGUGAGUAACCUGCCCCCUUCUUCUGGAUAACCGCAUGAAAGUGUGGCUAAUACGGGAUAUUCUGGGUCUGUCGCAUGAUGGGUCUGGGAAAGAUAUUGUUUCGGUGGGGGAUGGGCUCGCGGCCUAUCAGCUUGUUGGUGGGGUGAUGGCCUACCAAGGCGGUGACGGGUAGCCGGCCUGAGAGGGUGGACGGUCACACUGGGACUGAGACACGGCCCAGACUCCUACGGGAGGCAGCAGUGGGGAAUAUUGCACAAUGGGCGCAAGCCUGAUGUAGCGACGCCGCGUGAGGGAUGGAGGCCUUCGGGUUGUGAACCUCUUUCGCCAGUGAAGCAGGCCUGCCUCGUUUGUGGGUGGGUUGACGGUAGCUGGAUAAGAAGCGCCGGCUAACUACGUG
rnacentral:rRNA from 1 species